UCGCUACUACCGAUUGAACGGUUUGAUGAGUUCCGAGGAUGAGAGGCUUCCGGGCUUUGUCCGGUUGUUUUUCAGAGCAGGUGCAAAUCUGAUCGUUUAGAGGAAGUAA
rnacentral:rRNA from 1 species